UGGGGAUCCAGGUCGACUCAUGGACGAUUUUGCUUCAUGUCCCUGCAGGGAAAGGACCAGACCCAAGACAGAGCAGGAGGGAGUCCAACGCUGCAGCCACAGUCUACACCCUCAUCGGCGAAGGAAAGGAGCUGGAUGUCCUGCCCCAGGAGCCCGACCCCGACUACGCUGAGGUGGACACCCAGGUGCUGUAGGCCAAGCGGGGGGUGUCCGACCCCUGCCCCCGAGCCCGUCCUGCCAUCAGCGUGAGCCGGGGGUGCAGGGGCGCCCCCCCACAGCGUGAACCCAGGGGGAGUCAUCAGAGCGACGGGACAGGGAGCAGCAGCCACCAGGGGGUGACAGAUUGAUUCCCCCCCCCCAGAGAACGGGCUCGGCUUAUAGCCCCCCCAUAGCCCUCCCUCCAGCUGGUGCCGCCCCACCCAGCCCCAUGGGUGGGGGGCCAGGAGGGCUCAGCGCCAUGAGGGGGGAGGGGACACGCCGUGGCAGCUGUUUGUGUUAUUUUGUAUCCUGUUAAUCUCCAGAUUUGUA